UCUAAAACUCGAGAUAUGGGCUGAACACUGAACAAUGUCUGGGCUGCAGGAUAGAUUCCGACUUCUCUAUUGUUGCUAUCAUUUGAACUUGAAAACGGUCCUUUUGAAUCUUGAACUCUUCAUGAAAGUUUUAGGCCAAAUAAAAAUGUCUUAGCUUUCUAUC
rfam:Populus trichocarpa scaffold_15_contig_64, whole genome shotgun sequence.